rnacentral:rRNA from 1 species
GACGGAAGGUGCAAGCGUUGCUCGGAAUCACUGGGCGUAAAGGGUGCGUAGGCGGCUUGGUAAGUUGGGUGUGAAAGCCCCGGGCUCAGCCCGGGAAGGGCACUCGAAACUGCUGAGCUGGAGUGCCGGAGGGGAGAGUGGAAUUCCUGGUGUAGCGGUGAAAUGCGCAGAUAUCAGGAAGAACACCCGUGGCGAAGGCGGCUCUCUGGGACGGUACUGACGCUGAGACGCGAAAGCGUGGGGAGCGAACAGG